rnacentral:rRNA from 1 species
UACGUAGGCAGCGAGCGUUGUUCGGAGUUACUGGGCGUAAAGGGUGUGUAGGCGGUUCUUUAAGUUUGGUGUGAAAUCUCCCGGCUCAACCGGGAGGGUGCGCCGAAUACUGAGGGACUAGAGUACGGGAGAGGAAAGUGGAAUUCCUGGUGUAGCGGUGAAAUGCGUAGAUAUCAGGAGGAACACCGGUGGUGUAGACGGCUUUCUGGACCGUAACUGACGCUGAGACGCGAAAGCGUGGGGAGCGAACAGG